rnacentral:rRNA from 1 species
AUUGAACGCUGGCGGCAUGCCUAACACAUGCAAGUCGAACGAGUGGCGGACGGGUGAGUAAUGUCUGGGAAACUGCCCGAAGGAGGGGGAUAACUACUGGAAACGGUAGCUAAUACCCCAUACCAUCGCAUGUGCCCAGAUGGGAUUAGCUCGUAGGUGGGGUAAAGUCUCACCUAGGCGACGAUCCCCAGCUGGUCUGAGAGGAUGACCAGCCACACUGGAACUGAGACACGGCCCAGACUCCUACGGGAGGCAGCAGGGGGGAAUAUUGGACAAGGGGCGCAAGCCUGAUGCAGCCAUGCCGCGUGUAUGAAGAAGGCCUUCGGGUUGUAAAGUACUUUCAGCGAGGAGGCGGUACUCGCAGAAGAAGCACCGGCUAACUCCGUGCCAGCAGCCGCGGUAAUAC